GUGCUUGCUUCAGCAGCACAUAUACUAAAAUUGGAAUGAUACAGAGAAGAUUAGCAUGGCCUCUGUACAAAGAUGACAUGCAAAUUUGGAUAGUGUUGCAUAUUUUU
ensembl:snRNA U6 U6 spliceosomal RNA